rnacentral:lncRNA from 1 species
AUUGGUGGAGUGCUGCAGAGAUGGGAGAACCUUCCAGAUGGACAACCAUCUCCACAUAGGAACUCUGGAGCUCUGUCAGAGUGAUCAUUGGGUUCUUGGUCACCUCCUGACCAAGGCCCUUCUCCCCAAUUGCUUAGUUUAGCCCGGCGGCCAGCUCUAGAACAGUCUAGGUGGUUCUAAACUUCUACCGUUUAAGAAUGAUGUAGGCCACUGUGUUCAAUUUUAGGAAAAAGCUGUAACGUAACAAAAUGUGGAAAAAGUAAAAUACUGAAUCCUUUCCGAAUGCACUGUAGGUAGGGAUAAAGUGACUAGGCAACAGGAUAUACAAUAAAUAGUAAGAGCAGAGUAUGUGAUGAGUCAAAAAGAAAUUAGUGCAAGAAGGGUCAAUGCAGAUAUUCCAUGUACAGUUGAAGUUGGAAGUUUACCUACACCUUAGCCAAAUAGGUUUAAACUCAGUUUUUCACAAUUCCUGACAUUUAAUCCGAGUAAUAAUUCCCUGUCUUAGGUCAGUUAGGAUCAAAUCAAAUUUAUUUAUAUAGCCCUUCUUACAUCAGCUGAUAUCACAAAGCGCUGUUCAGAAACCCAGCCUAAAACCCCAAACAGCAAGCAAUGCAGGUGUAGAAGCACGGUGGCUAGGAAAAACUCCCUAGAAAGGCCAAAACCUAGGAAGAAACCUAGAGAGGAACCAGGCUAUGAGGGGUGGCCAGUCCUCUUCUGGCUGUACCGGGUGGAGAUUAUAACAGAACAUGGCCAAGAUGUUCAAAUGUUCAUAAAUGACCAGCAUUGUCAAAUAAUAGUAAUCAUAGUAGUUGUCGAGGGUGCAACAAGUCAGUAACACAAGAGUAAGUGUCAGUUGGCUUUUUCAUAGCUGAUCUUUGAGAUUAUCUCUACCGCUCCUGCUGUCUCUAGAGAGUUGAAAACAGCAGGUCUGGGACAGGUAGCACGUCCGGUGAACAGGUCAGGGUUCCAUAGCUGCAGGCAGAACAGUUGGAACUGGAGCAGCAGCACGGCCAGGUGAACUGGGGACAGCAAGGAGUCAACAAGCCAGGUAGUCCUGAGGCAUGGUCCUAGGGCUCAGGUCCUCCGAGAGAGACAAAGAAAGAAAGACAAAGAGAGAAUUAGAGAGAGCAUAUUUCAAUUCACACAGGACACCGGAAAAGACAAGAGAAAUACUCCAGAUGUGACAGACUGACCAUAGCCCCCGACACAUAAACUACUGCAGCAUAAAUACUGGAGGCUGAGGAUCACCACUUUAUUUUAGGAAUGUGAAAUGUCAGAAUAAUAGUAGAGAGAAUUAUUUAUUUCAGCUUUUGUUUCUUUCAUCACAUUCCCAGUGGG